GUUCUGGCCCGUAGCGCCCCAAACACCCUUCAUUUCAUCUGAUCUCAGAAGCUAAGCAGGGUUGGGAGUUUUUAGACCGUUGCUGUGACAUUGCUUGGAACU
rnacentral:rRNA from 1 species